GCCGCAGUGACUGGUCGUUGACCUGCAGCAGCAUCUCCUGUGUCCAGACCUUCUCCUUGGAGCUCAGCUGCACCAGUUUCCGGAUGGCGUCCUCCACAGACGCGAUGGCCUCACUCUUGUCCAUGAUGAACGUGGCCAGACUCCCCCAUGUGUCCCACCGCUGAAGUCAGUCAACAAUGCUUCGACAGUCGGGGAAACACUAUAUUAAAUUCCAGGUAGUCAAGACCCAGCUACAAAAGUGCUAGAAGAAAAUAGUGGAUGAUUCCUGAAGAUCUCAGAAAGGCCUUCUUCACAGAGGGACUUCCCUAAACAAGGAAGAAAAUCCAGAUGCCCAGAAGAAAAGACCGAAAAAUGUGACUUAAUCUGCUUGGGAAAAAAACAAAACAAAACAAAAAAAACACCAUAUACGAAGUAAAAAAAAAAAAAUCGGAAAAACAGAUGUAAUAGAUAUAGUGAAGGCUAGUUUUCUUAAUAUUUAUAAAGACCACUAUGCAUUACAGUGACAGCUCUUACUUGUUCAAGGCUCUACUUUGUUAAGCAAAGUUAUUAAGAAUACCGAUGAUAAAUGAAUACACAAAUGAAAAAGAUCUGUGACUAAGUAAAAUAGUAACACCCCAGUAGGAAAAUUGGCAAAAGACACGAACCGAGAGUCUCCAGGAAAACCAACAUAACUAACUUUUUAAUAUAGGAGACUGCAUAUAAUCUCAAUAAAAUAAUCGUGAGUGCAAGUCUGACGCUACUACUUCCGAAAUGAAUCAACUGCUGAACGUUUUACUUUUUUUUUCUUCAAGUUUAUCUAUUUUGAGAGAGGGAGAGAAGAGAGCAGUCCCAAGCAGAGCUGGACGUGAGGCUCGAACUCACAGACCAUCAGAUUAUGACCUGAGCCAAAAUCAAGAGUCGGAUGCGUGACCGACUGAGCCCCCCAGGUGCACUGUUUUACCUCUUCUGUUGCCCAGCGCUGACGGGUCCUUGCGGGUCACAUGUGCAGGUUAACGUGCAGAAGUGGGAUUCCCACCCUGCAUGCGCCUGGUGCUCUGGGGAGAAGCCCAGGACACCUGGAAAGGCGAACGCACGCCCUUGUCACAACUCAGAUAACCUGAACACGUGUGCGACGUGGCACGGGCACCAGGCUGCUCCCUGCAGCACUGAGUGUGACAAGAAAGGGUGGUCCCAAGCUACGUGAGCAUCAGCAGUCAGAGGGAUCAGUGGGCAGCGGGACAUAAGGCUGGCCGUCCGCGCGAGGCAGGGGGAGCCCCAAAGCACACGUUGUUAGCAAAACCCGCACAACCAAACCACAUAAAGCCACGCACCCGGCCGCAAAACAGGUCUAGCGCAUUUUGAUGGAAACCCCGCACACUGCGCUCUCUGACCAUCGUGGUGGUAAAAUAAAAGUCAGUACCGUUCGAUAACUAGAAAACCCUCAAAUAAUUGGAAAUUCAGCAACACGCUCCUACAUAACAACCGAUGGGUGAACGAAGGCACGAGAGAAAGAAGAAAAUACUCAAGAGACAAACGAAAACGAAAACACAGCACAGCACAACGUAGAGACGCAGCACGAGCAGCGGGCGGGGGCGUUUGGAGCUGCAAAUGCUCACACGGUCCCCAGGGAAAGGCAGAAGAUGUUCCGAACUGGAUGACAAUAAAGGCAUGGGCAUCAGACUUGCAGGAUUUCGCUAAAGGAGUUCAUGGAGGGGGACGUACGGCCUUAAAUGAAUAUUAGAAAAGAAGGGAUGUUUGGGGCACCUGGAGGGCUCGGUUGGUUGAGCGUCUGACCUCGGCUCAGGUCAUGAUCUCACAGUUUGUCAGUUCGAUCCCCGAGUCGGGCUGGCUGCCGUCAGCACGGAGCCUGUUUCGGACCCUCUGCCCUCGCCCCCUCUCUCUCUGUCCCUCCUCCGCCUUGCAUAUGCUCUCUCUCUCUCUCUCUC